rnacentral:rRNA from 1 species
GACGAACCGAGCGAACGUUAUUCGGAAUCACUGGGCUUAAAGGGCGCGUAGGCGGGCGGUCAAGUCGGAGGUGAAAGCCUGCAGCUCAACUGCAGAAGUGCCCCCGAUACUGAUCACCUCGAGGGAGGUAGGGGCGUGCGGAACUUCCGGUGGAGCGGUGAAAUGCGUAGAUAUCGGAAGGAACACCGGUGGCGAAAGCGGCGCGCUGGACCUCUUCUGACGCUGAGGCGCGAAAGCGUGGGUAGCGAACAGG